AAUAGAUGACGCUGUUGACUUUUUUCACAUGUUUGACUAUUCGUAUUAUUCAAAAAAUUUACGUAAUUAUAAUUUAUUUUGAAUACUCAACAAAAUAGUGACAUAGUACUUUAAGUGUGAUCAAUAUCUUAUACAUUUGCAUAAAAUUUUUGAAUAAGACGAAUGGUCAAACAUGUGAGAAAAAGUCAAUGGUGUCAUCUAUU
rnacentral:pre_miRNA from 1 species